GACGAACGCUGGCGGCGUGCUUAACACAUGCAAGUCGAACGGAAAGAGCCUGCUUUUGUGGGGUGCUCGAGUGGCGAACGGGUGAGUAACACGUGAGUAACCUGCCCUUGAUUUUGGGAUAACUUCAGGAAACUGGGGCUAAUACCGGAUAGGAGCUCCUGCUGCAUGGUGAGGGUUGGAAAGUUGCGGCGGUUGGGGAUGGACUCGCGGCUUAUCAGCUUGCUGGUGGGGUAGUGGCUUACCAAGGCUUUGACGGGUAGCCGGCCUGAGAGGGUGACCGGGCACAAUGGGACUACGAUAGGGCGCAGACUCCUACGGGAGGCAGCAGGGGGGAAUCUGACACAAUGGGCCGAAGCCUGAGGCAGAAGCGCCGCGUGCGGGAUGACGGCCUUCGGGUUGUAAACCGCUUUCGCCUGUGACGAAGCGUGAGUGACGGUAAUGGGUAAAGAAGCACCGGCUAACUACGUG
rnacentral:rRNA from 1 species